rnacentral:rRNA from 1 species
ACGGAGGAUGCAAGCGUUAUCCGGAUUUAUUGGGUUUAAAGGGUGCGCAGGCGGAAUGAUAAGUCAGUGGUGAAAUCCUACGGCUCAACUGUAGAACUGCCAUUGAUACUGUUGUUCUUGAGUACACUUGGAGUGGGCGGAAUGUGUCAUGUAGCGGUGAAAUGCUUAGAUAUGACACGGAACACCAAUGGCGAAGGCAGCUUACUGGGUUGUAACUGACGCUCAGGCGCGAAAGCGUGGGGAUCAAACAG